UGAAUACGAGACGCUAAGGCGUCGAAGUAGUGUAUGUCAUACUUCCAAGAAAAGCUUGCACUGUCAUAGAUAAAAAACGCCUGUACCAUAACCGACACAGGUGGGUAGGUAGAGUAUACUAAGGGGCGCGAGAUAACUCUCUCUAAGGAACUCGGCAAAAUAACUCCGUAACUUCGGGAGAAGGAGUGCCUUAUUCUUAAGGUUGCAAUAACAAGAUCCAAGCAACUGUUUAUCAAAAACACAGGUCUCCGCUAAGUCGUAAGACGAUGUAUGGGGGCUGACGCCUGCCCAGUGCCAAAGGUUAAAGAAGCUGGUUAGCAUUUGCGAAGCUAGUAACUGAAGCCCUGGUGAACGGCGGCCGUAACCAUAACGGUCCUAAGGUAGCGAAAUUCCUUGUCGGGUAAGUUCCGACCCGCACGAAAGGCGUAAUGAUUUGGAUACUGUCUCGGAGAGGGGCUCGGUGAAAUAGACUUGUCUGUGAAGAUGCGGACUACCUGCACCAGGACAGAAAGACCCUAUGAAGCUUUACUGUAACUUGAAAUUGAAAUUGGACUUUAUUCGCGCAGUAUAGGUGGGAGGCGUUGAUUAUAAUCUUGCGGGAUUAUUGGAGCCAUUAGUGAGAUACCACUCUUGUAAUGUUAGAUUUCUAACUUUGAAUCAUUAUCUGGUCAAAGAACAGUUUCAGGCGGGCAGUUUGACUGGGGCGGUCGCCUCCUAAACGGUAACGGAGGCGUACAAAGGUUUCCUCUGAACGGUUAGAAAUCGUAUCUAGAGUGUAAAGGCAUAAGGAAGCUUGACUGUGAGACCUACAAGUCGAGCAGGGACGAAAGUCGGUCUUAGUGAUCUGACGGUACUGAGUGGAAAGGCCGUCACUCAACGGAUAAAAGUUACUCUAAGGAUAACAGGCUGAUCUCCCCCAAGAGUUCACAUCGACGGGGAGGUUUGGCACCUCGAUGUCGGCUCAUCGCAUCCUGGGGCGGUAGUACGUCCCAAGGGUUGGGCUGUUCGCCCAUGAAAGCGGUACGCGAGCUGGGUUCAGAACGUCGUGAGACAGUUCGGUCCAUAUCCGGUGUAGGCGUUAGAAUAUUGAGAGGAGCCUUCUUUAGUACGAGAGGACCGAGAAGGACAUACCUCUGGUGUACCAGUUAUCGUGCCAACGGUAAACGCUGGGUAGCUAUGUAUGGAGUGGAUAACCGCUGAAAGCAUCUAAGUGGGAAGCCCACCUCAAGAUAAGUAUUCUCAUC
rnacentral:rRNA from 1 species